rnacentral:rRNA from 1 species
AACGAACGCUGGCGGCGUGCUUAAUACAUGCAAGUCGUGCGAGAAAGUCCGGCUUCGGUUGGGCGAGUAAAGCGGCGAACGGGUGAGUAACACGUGGAUAAUCUGCCCUCGAGUUCGGGAUAAUUCCCUGAAAGGGGUUGUAAUACCGGAUAACACAUCAUGAAGGCAUCUUCGUGAGGUCAAAGUCGGGGUAACCUGCCGCUUGAGGAUGAGUCCGCGUUCCAUUAGCUUGUUGGUGAGGUAAAAGCUCACCAAGGCUGCGAUGGAUAGCCGGCCUGAGAGGGCGAUCGGCCACACUGGGACUGAGAUACGGCCCAGACUCCUACGGGAGGCAGCAGUAGGGAAUAUUGCGCAAUGGACGCAAGUCUGACGCAGCAACGCCGCGUGGGUGAUGAAGCUUUUCGGAGUGUAAAACCCUGUCAGCGGGGAAGAACCGUGCAAGUAGUAACUGACUUGCGCCUGACGGUACCCGCAGAGGAAGUCCCGGCUAACUCCGUGCCAGCAGCCGCGGUAAUACGGGGGGGACUAACGUUGUCCGGAUUUACUGGGUAUAAAGGGCUCGCAGGCGGCCAAGCAAGUCAGAUGUGAAAGCCCACGGCUCAACCGUGGAAGUGCAUUGAAACUGCUUGGCUUGAGGUAUCGGAGGGGGUAGUGGAAUUCCCGGUGUAGCGGUGAAAUUCGUAGAUAUCGGGAGGAAUACCGGUGGCGAAGGCGACUUUCUGGCUGAAUACUGACGCUGAGGCGCGAAAGCGUGGGGAGCAAACAGGAUUAGAUACCCUGGUAGUCCACGCCGUAAACGAUGUCAACUAGGUGCAGGGGGUGUUGAUCCCCUCUGUGUCGCAGCUAACGCAUUAAGUUGACCGCCUGGGGAGUACGGUCGCAAGAUUAAAACUCAAAGGAAUUGACGGGGGCCCGCACAAGCGGUGGAGUAUGUGGUUUAAUUCGAUGCAACGCGCAGAACCUUACCUGGGCUUGACAUCCUGAAAAAGCCCUAGAAAUAGGGAAGUGAUCUCUUUGAGAGAAUACACAGGUGCUGCAUGGCUGUCGUCAGCUCGUGCCGUGAGGUGUUGGGUUAAGUCCCGCAACGAGCGCAACCCUUGUCCAUAGUUACCAUCAGGUCACGCUGGGGACUCUAUGGAGACUGCCAGUGAUAAGUCGGAGGAAGGUGGGGACGACGUCAAGUCCUCAUGGCCCUUACACCCAGGGCUACACACGUACUACAAUGGUCGGUACAGAAGGUCGCAAUAUCGCGAGAUGGAGCUAAUCCCAAAAACCGGCCUCAGUUCAGAUUAGAGUCUGCAACUCGACUCUAUGAAGGCGGAAUCGCUAGUAAUCGCUGAUCAGCAAGCAGCGGUGAAUACGUUCCCGGGGAUUGUACACACCGCCCGUCAAGCCAUGGAAGUUGGGAGCACCCGAAGUCGUUUGCCUAACCGCAAGGAAGGCGGCGCCUAAGGUGAUACUGAUGACUAGGGCU